rnacentral:rRNA from 1 species
UACAGGGGGGGCAAGCGUUGUUCGGAAUUACUGGGCGUAAAGGGUCUGUAGGUGGCCAACUAAGUCAGACGUGAAAUCCCUCAGCUUAACUGGGGAACUGCGUCUGAUACUGGAUGGCUUGAGUGUGGGAGAGGAAUGCGGAAUUCCAGGUGUAGCGGUGAAAUGCGUAGAUAUCGGAAGGAACAUCGGUGGCGAAAGCGGCGCGCUGGACCUCUUCUGACGCUGAGGCGCGAAAGCCAGGGGAGCGAACGGG